UACGGAGGGGGCUAGCGUUGUUCGGAAUUACUGGGCGUAAAGCGCACGUAGGCGGCUUUGCAAGUUAGAGGUGAAAGCCCGGGGCUCAACUCCGGAAUUGCCUUUAAAACUGCAUCGCUAGAAUUGUGGAGAGGUAAGUGGAAUUCCGAGUGUAGAGGUGAAAUUCGUAGAUAUUCGGAAGAACACCAGUGGCGAAGGCGACUUACUGGACACAUAUUGACGCUGAGGUCCGAAAGCGUGGGGAGCAAACAGG
rnacentral:rRNA from 1 species